GUUCCAAAAUCAGAUCUGAAAAGAGUCAAAAACACAGAAAAAACAGGAAGUGACACUUGGCACUGGAUUAAUAAGUUAGUCCCAAAAAAGAUAUAAAAGGUAAACAAAACAUCCAAAGUUGACAAGAUAACAGCGUGAAACCAUCAAAAAUUAUAGAUACGUUUGAGACGUAUCAUAACCCGCCGCAGAACCCAACGGUUUCCUCCAUCAACCACGAAAGCCUCCAUGGUCAUUUUUUUCCAUUCAUCGCUGAACCAAACACCGCUCGGAUGCACCUUCUAACUGCAGCAUACUCUACAUUAAUCAUGUCUUUCACUACAACCGUAGUCAUCCCGCAC
rnacentral:lncRNA from 1 species